UGGGGAAUUUUGGACAAUGGGCGAAAGCCUGAUCCAGCAAUGCCGCGUGUGUGAAGAAGGCCUGCGGGUUGUAAAGCACUUUUGUCCGGAAAGAAAUGGCUCUGGUUAAUACCUGGGGUCGAUGACGGUACCGGAAAAAUAAGGACCGGCUAACUACGUGCCAGCAGCCGCGGUAAUACGAAGGGUCCAAGCGUUAAUCGGAAUUACUGGGCGUAAAGCGUGCGCAGGCGGUUGUGCAAGACCGAUGUGAAAUCCCCGAGCUUAACUUGGGAAUUGCAUUGGUGACUGCACGGCUAGAGUGUGUCAGAGGGGGGUAGAAUUCCACGUGUAGCAGUGAAAUGCGUAGAGAUGUGGAGGAAUACCGAUGGCGAAGGCAGCCAGCUGGGAUAACACUGACGCUCAUGCACGAAAGCGUGGGGAGCAAACAGG
rnacentral:rRNA from 1 species